GAUCAUGGCUCAGGAUGAACGCUAGCUACAGGCUUAACACAUGCAAGUCGAGGGGCAGCAUGAACUUAGCUUGCUAAGUUUGAUGGCGACCGGCGCACGGGUGAGUAACACGUAUCCAACCUGCCGAUGGCUCGGGGAUAGCCUUUCGAAAGAAAGAUUAAUACCCGAUGGCAUAGUUCUUCCGCAUGGUAGAACUAUUAAAGAAUUUCGGUCAUCGAUGGGGAUGUGUUCCAUUAGG
rnacentral:rRNA from 1 species